rnacentral:lncRNA from 1 species
UAUAGUGGGCUGGGUCGUUACAUUUGGUAUCAGAGCCGGUUCACCAGCUGGACAUGUGUGGCGAGUCUCGGCUGAGCCAGGGUCUGGAUGACGGGCUAGCGAGACGAGUCUCACAUAGCCUGGUGAUCUUGGGCUGUGUGUGUGAGGACUGACGAGGACGUCAGGGCCUUAACGGGGGGAGUCUGUGACACCCCAAUAGUCCCACCCAUGUUUAACCCGAGUUAAGCUAACAAAGGAUAACUGCAGGGGUAUUUUAGAAUAACGGUGGAACAUAUGAGGGGCAUUUUAGAAAGGAAAAAAAAGCAGGGGUAGAUCGGAUAUAUCUGAGCGUAUGAGGGGUAUAUAGGCAAUUAUCCCUAAAAAUUUAAAUUAAAAUUUUAAGAAUGACGUAUUGAAAAGGUUUGGGGUUCGAAAGGAUCGAUAAACUUGUAAUUUUAUAUACAUAUAAGAUAACCUGUCAU